UUAUUGUUCUUGUAGCAGUUGGUCUUCUACAACUUCCCAUGAUCCAAUGCACUUUGUAAGGAUGGACAAUUGGAUUCAUGUUGAUUGCUUCAAAAAAUAAAGAGAUAGGCCAAAAAGAAUGUGUGUUAAGGUGGUGAAAGAAGACAUGAUUGGUUAAGCUAACAUUUCUACCAAGUCUAAGAAAACUAGUGGCAAAAGUAUCAUGUGAAGUUCAUGUAAAUACUCGCAACCAAACAAUUAUCCGUCAGAAUUGUUACCCCGAGUGAUCAUACUUGGAGGGUGAAGCAGAGCUAAGCUAGAAGGUUCGAUGGUGUCAGUGGUCUCUACAUCUGUAUACAUUUAAACAGUUUCUGGUACGCGAAAUCCAGAACGCGCAUAUCAUAUGAUCAUAUCCCUGUUUCUGUAAAAUAUAAACAUAUUAAAAACUGUUGGAAAAUCAUUGAUUGGAUGUCAUAUAUAUUAUAUUUGUGUAUAUUAUUAUUUUUCCAGGAAAAUAUUCCAUAUGUUGUGCGAGAACAGUUUCCUGUUUGAGAAAAUUACAGUAAGGUAUUGAAUGGCAAUUGGGAUAGAGA